CAGCUUGCUGCUUCGCUGACGAGUGGCGGACGGGUGAGUAAUGUCUGGGAAACUGCCUGAUGGAGGGGGAUAACUACUGGAAACGGUAGCUAAUACCGCAUAACGUCGCAAGACCAAAGAGGGGGACCUUCGGGCCUCUUGCCAUCGGAUGUGCCCAGAUGGGAUUAGCUAGUAGGUGGGGUAACGGCUCACCUAGGCGACGAUCCCUAGCUGGUCUGAGAGGAUGACCAGCCACACUGGAACUGAGACACGGUCCAGACUCCUACGGGAGGCAGCAGUGGGGAAUAUUGCACAAUGGGCGCAAGCCUGAUGCAGCCAUGCCGCGUGUAUGAAGAAGGCCUUCGGGUUGUAAAGUACUUUCAGCGGGGAGGAAGGCGAUAAGGUUAAUAACCUUGUCGAUUGACGUUACCCGCAGAAGAAGCACCGGCUAACUCCGUG
rnacentral:rRNA from 1 species